rnacentral:rRNA from 1 species
UGCGUAGGCGGGCUAUUAAGUCAGAGGUGAAAUACUGCCGCUUAACGGUAGAAUUGCCUUUGAUACUGAUAGUCUUGAGUAUAGUUGAGGUAGGCGGAAUGUGUUGUGUAGCGGUGAAAUGCUUAGAUAUAACACAGAACACCGAUUGCGAAGGCAGCUUACUAAGCUAUUACUGACGCUGAUGCACGAAAGCGUGGGGAGCGAACAGGAUUAGAUACCCUGGUAGUCC